UACGUAGGGUGCAAGCGUUGUCCGGAAUUAUUGGGCGUAAAGGGCUCGUAGGCGGUCCAUCACGUCGGGAGUGAAAAGCUGGGGCUUAACCCCAGUCCUGCUUCCGAUACGGGUGGACUAGAGGUAGGCAGGGGAGAACGGAAUUCCUGGUGUAGCGGUGAAAUGCGCAGAUAUCAGGAGGAACACCGGUGGCGAAGGCGGUUCUCUGGGCCUUACCUGACGCUGAUGCACGAAAGCUAGGGGAGCAAACAGG
rnacentral:rRNA from 1 species